ACCUCCUUGAGCCAAGUUUUAAGAAACAAACACCAAGGUCACCCAAGCGGCUUGUUUUCAGCAAACUAAAGGAGAAAUUAAGGUGACAACCGCGUGCAUCCAGAGUUAGUCAGAUCCUGAAGGCAGUUCCUUUGGGAAACGGAGGAGCAGCGCGCCAGAUGACGCCUACCUUACAGCGCACCCCUCAGAGGCACUGCUACGAAAGGAAGGCAGAAGAAAAACGAGGGGACUGGUUGUCCCAAGUCAGCCAGGGAACUUAUCUUUGGUCGAUGCACCAAGCAACUCAGCUCUCUUGGGGAAACUUAAAUAGAACAGACAGAUCUCCAAAGGGAUACAAAAAAUAAAUCCAAUGAUAAAAACCCAACCGACACAUCCCAUACCCCAGCUUAUUGAACAGCACAAGGGUUUAAUCUACAGGCUCUGUCCAAAGCAGCAAGAAGUGACAGAUUUAAGCCAAACCAGUUGCCCGCUCUCACUCUCUGAUCUGGAGGUGUUAUUUGACAAGCAUGCCUAUCAGUAACACUUGUAAACGCUGGGUUACUGCACCACAGCCCCAGAUCCCUCACGGGCCCACUAAGAUAGUUUUAGUGAUUGAUCCACAAUAAACACUCCCAAAAAGAUUCUCAACAAGUUAAACCCUGGUUAGAAAGAAUCUGAGGAACCUGUCACUGCAGCAACAAAGGGCUGCAACUGUGUGCAAAAUCUCCAACACCCUCCUUAGCACCCUGCUAGCUCAAGGACUGUGUGGGGCUUCCGUGCCCUGAAUGAGUCCACCCUGGCCACAUAAUGCGGAUGUAAUGUUCAAGAAAGCACAUAUCGUUAUCGAAACUUAUCAGAUCCACAGCAAAAAGAAAAGCCCACGCUUCUAUAUUUCUCCUCCUUCUCCAUUCACAGAAGGAAGAGACUGAAAAGAAGCAGAUUUGUCUUUUACAUUUACCGUUAAUGUGAAAAAUGUGUAUUUGGGAAAUACAUCACGUAUUGUUUCAAGCUACAAAAAACUCGCUCCCACAAAGGAAGGACUUUUGACCUCAGCAUGCAACCCCAGUUACAAAUAACUUCCUGUCUACCAGCGGGCCGCGUUCCCCUGGCACUCAG